rnacentral:lncRNA from 1 species
UACACUGAAAUAUUUACAGAAGAAAUAUGAUUUCUCACAUUUGCUUCAAAAGUAUGAAGGGAGAGAGAUGGGGCCAGAUAAAGGAAGACUGUCUUCAAAUGGACAAGUGCUGAAGCUGGGUAGUGGGUUCAUGGGGUCUCAUUCUAUUUUUCUAAUUGUGUGUCUAUUUAUUAUACAAAAUAUGCAACUUAUCCAUAAUAGGAUGCUGAAGAAUACUUAAAGGGUCAACAUGUGUCUGUCCUCUUGAUUUGGCCCAGCAUCUGCCAGAUUGUGGCCUCUAUAUCUAAUGAGCUUCAGUCUCCACUCAACUCUACCUUCACCCCUGAACUCUAAGUGUUAAGGCCCUUUAUCACUAAACCUGGCUGUCCCAACCUUUCUCUGGUCCCUUUUCAGGUCCUUUCUCAGAGAUGCCCAUCUCCCAGCGAUGGUGACAUCGUGGCAAAGAGGAGCAUGACACAAUCCACAAAGACCAGGGCAGGUUCCCUGACAGGGAAAACACCCAGGAACAGGGAGCUGGGUGUCAGGGGCCGUCACCACCCAGCGCCCUUCGUUUAGUUCCCAACUCCUCUGCCCAAUUCCUUAACCUCAAGGUCAAAGAUACACACACACACACCUGUCUAGAUCGCCCACCUUUUCCUUCAGCAUUCCAGAGCCCAGACAAAGGUUAUCGACCAACCAGGAAAAUAAAAAGAGGGCAUCUCUCCCGGAACAGUUCGGAUUAGAGAAGAGAGUCGUAAUCUGGGGAGAUGGAGCCUUUGAAGCGCGGGAGGGGAGCGGGUCCCCUGACCCGCAGGCACGAGUGAGACACCGCGUUGGAGACAGGCCGGACUGAUGGAAUCUGCGACUGCAGAACCAGCAGAUCCACAGGACCCACUGUAGUAUUCUCCCCAAGCAACAGAGGAGGGAGCAAGGAACCACCACUUCCUCUCUUCUACCCCACCAGUCUCCCUGGUCCAUACCCACAUAGUUUCAUAGACUCAUGGUUCUCAAACUUUGGCAUGCAUCAAAAUCACCUGGAGAGCUUGUUAAAAACAUGGCAAGAAAAAAAAAAAACCACUCCCAGAGGGACUUCUCUGGUGGUCCAGUGGUUGAGAGUCUACUUGCCAAUUCAGGGUUAUAGGUUUGAUUUCUGUUCUGGAAAGAUCCCACAUGCCUGAGAGCAACUAAGCCCAUGAGCCUCAACUACUGAGCUCCUGCCCUAGAGCCCCAGAGCUGCAACCACUGAGCCUGUGUGCUCUAGAAGCCGUGCUCAGCAGCAAGAGAAGCCACUUCAAGAAGAAGCCUGUGCACCGCAUCUAGACAGUAGCCCCGGCUUGCCACAACCAGAGAAAGCCCCCAUAGAGCAAUGAUACAGGGCAGCUGAAAAUAAUAAAUAAACAGUUUUUUAAAAAUUGCCAGAGAGUCUGAUG